rnacentral:lncRNA from 1 species
CGGACUUCCGGUGCUCUCCUGCGCGUGUGCACCUUUCUCUGUGUGCACGGCGCGCCGCCGCCGCACUGCCCUCGCUCCCUGCCCGGCCCGGGCCCGUCGGGAGCCAAACAGCCUUGGUGAGGUGGAGAGGAGGGGACCUCGCGAGCAGACGCGCCACAGCAGGCCCGCCCCGGCCUCUCGGGAGCCGUGGGGCAGAGGCUGCCGAGCCCCAGGAGGGUAGGUCUUGGGUUUUGGGGCUCGGAGCGAGAAGGGCCUGGGUGAAGUCACCGUGUGUUGGGGACCUUAGAGUGUGGGGCAGGGGGAGGGUCCCGAUCGCAUGCAGGAGAGAUGGGUGUUUGGGUUUGAGGGCAGGGUCCAGCUGCACCGAACAGGCGCUGCAUGGGAAGAUCUGGGAGGACAAGGCUUACGGGGACGUGGAGGGUGUCCCCAGCCUCAGCUGCGGACGUCGUCUCCACUCCCCACUAACCCCUAACAGCCCUUCCUCCUCCUCUCCGUGCUCCAGAUUUCGACUGCCUCUAAACGUCUGUCAGCACCUCUGUUGUCUCAUUUAAGUAUCUGCUGAUUUCCCCCCUUAGAUCUGCCCUGGAGAAUGGUAGUAAUGCAGCAACAGUCUGCAGGGAUUCUCUUGCUGCCUCAGUUGCUAGGGGAAGAGACUGGGCCUUAGCAGGUGGACGACUUGACCAGGUCACCGGCUUUGUGGGUAGAGGUGCUCAUAGUAGAACUCAGGAGUCUUAUCUCCCAGGCCAGUGUUCUUUCUCCCGUAUCCUAGUUUUCUUAAUAGAAGAUGAUUAGGUGCAGCAAUAAUCAAAUUUAGUUAGAUAAUUUAGAAACAAAACCAUAUUUUAUACACGUUCAUUUCUGAGCGCUCACAUACUCAAUUCCUUUGGCCUUUUUGAUUUUAAGCAAUUUAAAGAGACAAUAAGGAAAUGUGGGCGAAUGCAGUGGCUCACACCUGUAAUCCCAGCACUUUGCGGGGCUAGGGCAAGAGUAUCCCUUGAGACCAGGAGUUAGAGACUAGCCUAGGCAACAUAGGGAGACCCUGACUCUACAAAAAAUAAAAAAGUAGCCACACAUGCUGGGAUGCA